GCCCUUAGAGUUUGAUCCUGGCUCAGAUUGAACGCUGGCGGCAUGCCUUACACAUGCAAGUCGAACGGUAACAGGUCUUCGGAUGCUGACGAGUGGCGAACGGGUGAGUAAUACAUCGGAACGUGCCCGAUCGUGGGGGAUAACGAGGCGAAAGCUUUGCUAAUACCGCAUACGAUCUACGGAUGAAAGCGGGGGAUCUUCGGACCUCGCGCGGACGGAGCGGCCGAUGGCAGAUUAGGUAGUUGGUGGGAUAAAAGCUUACCAAGCCGACGAUCUGUAGCUGGUCUGAGAGGAUGAUCAGCCACACUGGGACUGAGACACGGCCCAGACUCCUACGGGAGGCAGCAGUGGGGAAUUUUGGACAAUGGGCGAAAGCCUGAUCCAGCCAUGCCGCGUGCAGGAUGAAGGCCUUCGGGUUGUAAACUGCUUUUGUACGGAACGAAAAGCCUCUUUCUAAUAAAGAGGGGUCAUGACGGUACCGUAAGAAUAAGCACCGGCUAACUACGUGCCAGCAGCCGCGGUAAUACGUAGGGUGCAAGCGUUAAUCGGAAUUACUGGGCGUAAAGCGUGCGCAGGCGGUUUUGUAAGACAG
rnacentral:rRNA from 1 species